GCACUAGCAAAAUCUAGUGUCAGGAUUKGCACCCUGAAUAUACUAAAGGUGACACGUGACGCGCCUUGCGUCUUUUUU
rnacentral:sRNA from 1 species